AACGCAUCUUGCGCUCCUUGGUAUUCUGAGGAGCAUGCCUGUUUGAGUGUCAUUAAGCUUUAUCAAAACACUUGUGUGUGUGUUUUGGACAUUGGGGGGAGUGCUUUGCUGGCAUGAAUGGAGCCAGCUCUCCUUAAAAACAAAGACAGCUUGGAGGUUGUUGGCAUGAUAUAAUUUUGUUUAUGCUAACUUUUGAGUAUCUCUGCUGCUUUUUACUACUUUGUGGUUGAUCUCUGAUCCACCCUAUAUAAUUUGUCUCUUGACCUCAAAUCAGGUAGGAUUACCCGCUGAACUUAA
rnacentral:misc_RNA from 1 species